rnacentral:tRNA from 1 species
GCCCCAGUGGCUUAGCCUGGUAGAGCACUUCCUUGGUAAGGAAGAGGUCGUGAGUUCAAAUCUCACUUGGGGCU